ACGGAGGAUGCAAGCGUUAUCCGGAUUCAUUGGGUUUAAAGGGUGCGCAGGCGGAAUGAUAAGUCAGUGGUGAAAUCCUACGGCCCAACUGUAGAACUGCCAUUGAUACUGUCAUUCUUGAGUACACUUGAAGUGGGCGGAAUGUGUCAUGUAGCAGUGAAAUGCUUAGAUAUGGCACAGAACACCGGUCGCGAAGGCAGCUCACUAAAUUGUAACCGACACUGAUGCACUAAAGCUUGGGUAUUAAACAG
rnacentral:rRNA from 1 species